CAAACUAAAAAUCAGCAUGCUAGAAACACAUGAUGAUGGGCUGGUAUGGAUUGAAUUGUGUUUCCCCAAAUUUAUAUGGUCAAGUCCUAACCCCCAAUCCUUCAGAACGUAACCGUAUUUGAGGAUCAAGUUUUUAAAGAGGUGAUUAACUUCAGGUGAGGUGAUUAGGUGGGCCCUAAUCUGACAGGACUGGUGUCCCUGUCAGAGAAGGAGAUGUUGGACACAUGGAGAGAGACACCAAACACAUGUGCACACUGCAGGCUGGCAUGUGAAGACACGGGGAGAAGACUGCUAUCGGCAAGCCAAGUAGAGAGGCUUCAGAAGAAACCAAACCUGCGGACAUCUCACCAGAACUCUCCUGGUCCCCUCCCAGCAUGCAGUAGGAUAUCAAGAAAUGACUGUUGAAUGAAUGAAUGGAAUCCAUGGAAUCAUGGUGUGCCUGCAGCUGGAAUUUGGUAGAACUAUCAUACAUUAAGAGAGACCUGAUGCAGAUAUUAAAAAUUCCAAAUACUGUGG